GCGAAUCUCUGUUGUCUCCUUUAGUCCCUAGGGUUUGAAGCCUACAAUUUUUUUUACCUAAUCCCUCUUUGGUUGCAUUCUCAUGCCGAUCCUUCGUCAUGAGGUUAGUCUUCAUCUCAGUAUCUUUCUUUCUUGGGGCUAGUAAGCUUUGCCUGAAGCUCAGAAAUCCCAACCUGAAAUUUUAUAAAAUUAUUUAUAGCUUUUAACUGUCAAAGGUAUUGCUACAUGGCAAUCUCUUCUAAUUUUUCAUUUGGGUCUCCAUCGAAUCCGUCGUUUGAUCCCCAUUUCUAGCAAGUUUUAUUUUUAAAGGUUGUUUGCUGUGAUUGUGAUCUUGAAAAGGUUUGUUUCUAAAGAGUUGGUCAUCCACUCACCUUUUUUUUUACCACUUUUCAGUCAAAUUUAGGUUGCUUUAAAGCACCCCUACCAUGGGUUUUCUAGUACUAAUGGCUUCUGUCUUAGCAGUUUCUCACCUAUACUGAGUAAAGUUUUGAGUUGUUCUUGCCAGUUUUAGUACUAUCUCUUUUUGUACUUUAACUAUACUAUCCAUUCUCCAACGAUACACUCUGCCACAUUCCUAUACAUCUCCCUCUCUCAAAAUGGCUCCAUCUGCUACAAAAACAACGAAAGCAAAAGCAACGAGGAGACCAAGAAGAACCCAUUACAAGAAGCGGCUGGUCAAGUCCAAGAACAUCCAAGAAACAUCAAUGUUGGAGGAUAUCUCUUCCUCCACCGCCACUACCUCAAGCUUCAAUACUUGUUCCAAGAUUGAUGGCUUAGAUUUCGAGGGUGUUGAUAUCUCUACAAGUUCAUGCUCUACACCAAAAGCUCAGAGAUUUCGGAUACCAAAGAUCGUUACUUGCCCACCUGCGCCGAAGAAGCAAAGAGUGAUUUCAAAUUGCUCAUUGCAAAGGAGACCGAUAGCUUUCUUUGCCCCUCCAGACUUAGAGAUAUUCUUCUUCUUUGCUCUUCGCGAUAUCUCAGUCUAGAGUUUGUUCAUAUGAUAUGAAGAUCAUUUCAAUAUAGUGUAAGAGGUGAUCCUUAUAAAAUCUCUCUUGAGUUACAUAGUUUGUGUUUUUCUCAAUCUGAUCAUUAAGAUAUAUUAUAAGAGCUAGUUUGAGCUUUUGUUAGCUUUGCUCUUUUUGGUUUACUAAUUAAGCUAGCUGGUUUUCCAAUUUGAUGGGUAUACUAAUCACUAAGUUUAGCUGGGGUUGUCCAACUAAAUUUAGGCUUAAUUAUGUCUACUGUUCCUUCAAUAUUUAUUUCAUUUUUAGGUGUGUAUUGUUGACUUUGGGAGUUUGAAGAGUGAGAUGUAAUGGCUUGAUUUAAGGUUUAAUUGUGAGUGUGAUUUUAGUGUGCAAUUUUCAGUCUCUCUUUGUUCAGUCAACUUCAAAAAGUAAGUAAAAUCAUGACUUAACUGUUUAUGCACAAAAUGCAAACCCUUCUUCUCCUUUUCU
rnacentral:misc_RNA from 1 species